GUUUGCACUCAUCGGGGAAGGGUGAGAACCUUCGACUAAGGUUCGAUUCGAGCGAAAGCGAGAGAACGUUGCCACAGGCAAUGGCCCGAAGGGUGAGGAGCGAAGCGACGAAUAAUCCUUCCCCCACCACCA
rnacentral:sRNA from 1 species